UACAGAGGGGGCAAGCGUUGUCCGGAAUUAUUGGGCGUAAAGAGCUCGUAGGCGGCUUGUCACGUCGAUUGUGAAAGCCCGAGGCUUAACCUCGGGUCUGCAGUCGAUACGGGCUAGCUAGAGUGUGGUAGGGGGAGAUCGGAAUUCCUGGUGUAGCGGUGAAAUGCGCAGAUAUCAGGAGGAACACCGGUGGCGAAGGCGGAUCUCUGGGCCAUUACUGACGCUGAGGAGCGAAAGCGUGGGGAGCGAACAGG
rnacentral:rRNA from 1 species